CUGCGCGGCUCGCGGGAGGGAGGGUGAGUCAGUGCAACGUCCUCCAGCAGCCGCGUCUCACGCGAUGAUAAGAAUGUGCCAAGCCCCUUCCCCGGGCCCUGGGAGAGGAGAGACCCUCCCGCCCCCGCUGGGUCCCUGGAGACCAGAAUUGCCAAUAUAAGCUUCCCGGCUGCCACGCGCAGCCGGCGGCGGCUCCACUCGCUUGGAGGCGAGGUCCCCAGCUCCAGGUUCGCUGACCUGCACGCGCCCACUGCGGAUUGAACCCCAGAGCAUCCGCCCGCUCUUUAUACGCCGGGCGCACAGACAGCCCCUCCCCAAACACACGGACCCGCACAUUCCCGGAUGGUUACUGGCCUCGUGGUCACUUGAAGAUUGCUCCCAUUUCAAGCUGCAGGGCCACCAGUCUGAGUCACUGCUGUGUCCAGUAUGACCAUCCAGAGACCAGGACUUGACUUCGAGUUAGACUCUAAGACUCUUGGCAAAGAGGAGGCAGCCCUGGACUGAAGACUCAGGAGGCCCCAGCUCAAUGUCUCGGCAGGGUCAAGUGGAGUCGCCUCUCUAGGUCCCAGUUCUCAUUGGUUAUAGUUGUGUCCUUCCCUAAGUAGGGCGGCAGGAGCAGAUGGAGUGAAUUAGUCCUCUGAGAAUGCGGUCCUGGCCUCUCUGGGCUGCCAGCCCUCUCCUGCCUUCUAGGGUUGGCGGGGUGCAUCCUUCUAACCCUGGCCUUGCUCUCAUCCCCUGCUCCACAGGCCCUGGGAAGGUGGCCGCUGAGGCUCUGUAUUUGCCCUCUGCUGCACUGCUCACCACACAGCCCAAGCCCACAUAGGCGGAGAAGUGUGUGUGUGUGUGUGUGUGUGUGUGUAUACAUAUGUACAUGCAACAGAUAUGGGUUGGGAGGCUCUGCUUACACAGGAAUCUUGGGUGUCUCACACCGCCCAAUGGAAGACCCACCCAGCUAGGGAUGAGUUUAGUUCAUCUCACAUACAGCCUUGCGCGAACGCUCUCACACGCACACACACCAGGUGGACAAUGUCCGGCACGAGCACAAACCCAGCCAUGACAUCAGAUGCAAUCAAAUGGACGCCGAUUGGAAUAUGCAUACUUGGCUGGUGGUUUGGCCUGCUAGAGGCCCCCAGUCCCCUCCCCAGCACUGCAAAUAACAAACAGAUCCCAAACAUGACAAAUACGCACGCUCACACACAUGUGUGGCCAUCCCAGACCCACUCAUGCAGACACCAUCCAGGUCCCAGUUUCACACAAACACACGCGACAUCUCGCACGAUCGCACAACUAAACCCUGACUGGGCCAAGCCACUGCCUAGAUCUGAG